ACAAAGGGUCGCGAUCUCGCGAGGGUGAGCUAACUCCAAAAACCCGUCCUCAGUUCGGAUUGCAGGCUGCAACUCGCCUGCAUGAAGCAGGAAUCGCUAGUAAUCGCCGGUCAGCCAUACGGCGGUGAAUCCGUUCCCGGGCCUUGUACACACCGCCCGUCACACUAUAGGAGCUGGCCAUGUUUGAAGUCAUUACCCUUAACCGUAAGGAGGGGGAUGCCUAAGGCUAGGCUUGCGACC
rnacentral:rRNA from 1 species